rnacentral:rRNA from 1 species
GCCUACGGGACGCAGCAGUGGGGAAUAUUGCACAAUGGGGGAAACCCUGAUGCAGCGACGCCGCGUGAGUGAAGAAGUAUCUCGGUACGUAAAGCUCUAUCCGCAGGGAAGAAAAAAAGUCUUUGGCUUUGGACGGUACCUGACUAAGAAGCCCCGGCUACCUACGUGCCAGCAGCCGCGGUAAUACGUAGUGGGCAAGCGUUAUCCGGAUUUACUGGGUGUAAAGGGAGCGUAGACGGCAGCGCAAGUCUGGAGUGACAUGCCGGGGCUCAACACCGGAACUGCUUUGGAAACUGU